AUACGCAGGGAGCGAGCGUUGUCCGGAAUUACUGGGCGUAAAGGGCGCGUAGGCGGCGCUUCAAGUCGUCUGUCAAAUGGGAGGGCUUAACCCUUUUUCGCAGACGAAACUGGAGAGCUUGAGAAGCAGAGAGGCAAACAGAAUUCCUGGUGUAGCGGUGAAAUGCGUAGAUAUCAGGAAGAAUACCAGUGGCGAAGGCGGUUUGCUGGCUGCAUACUGACGCUGAAGCGCGAAAGCCAGGGGAGCGAACGGGAUUAGAUACCCCGGUAGUCCUGGCAGUAAACGAUGUAUGCUGGGUGUGAGACUAGCGAUAGUUUCGUGCCGAAGUUAACGCGAUAAGCAUACCGCCUGGGGAGUACGGUCGCAAGAUUGAAACUCAAAUGAAUUGACGGGG
rnacentral:rRNA from 1 species